CAACACUCUCCGCGUUGUAGGAACUUUGUAAGUUCACAUCAAUAAUCACUGCAAAGAACUGUUUUUCAUCCAUGCUAAGACCCGCAAUAUUACUGUCCUGAGCAAACCAGCUUCAUGUAACUUGAUGUGAGACUUGCCAAGUACCUGAAACUUUCUUACGUACAGAGACAACACAAAGAUUCUACCAAGAACAUGAUCAUCACCACACAAGUUCAUUCAUUUGACUUAUUAACCCUCAGCCAAAAUAACUUUGAAACUAUAGAUCUAUUAAACCUUUCUUGUUCUAAAUAAUUCCCUGUCUUAGAUUCACAUUUAGCUGCAAUUCUUCCCUGAGUUCCUAAAGCCUCAAAUAGUGUCAAACCAGUCAUUAACAUAAGAAAUUUUACUCCUAAGGCGUCCCCUAGACAUAAAAUUUCUAAGAAGUUCCAACAGGUUAUCUAACAACAUGUACUACAAUACAUAUAUAUAUGACUUUAUAUCAGUUCAUAGCAAUUCAAUAUGAGCAGCAAACCUCCAUAAAAGAUACAUGUCUCCAUGACCUUUCUCUUUUAUGCACAUCACAAGAUUGAUAUCUCUCUGUACCUGAAUCUGCCAAGACAAUCACAGAACAAGAAACAAAAGGUUAAUGAAUAAUAAUCAGUUUCAUACUUUUACCUUGGAGUCACAUAGAAAUAUGCAGAUCUCUCCAAGCCUUUGUGUCUAGUGACCAAUGAUCAAAUUGAUUCCUGAAUCUUGAUUUCUCCAGUGUCUGUUGUACUUCCACUUGCGAUACUUAACGCAAAACUCGUAGCACUUCAGGCUGUAAGCAACGACUUUGCUUAUUCCAUCUUCCAGAAAACCAGAAAACCAAUCUUCUUCGCUAAAUAUCCAGAAAACCAGAAACCGGCUUUCUCCAGCAAGAUUCUUCGCUAAAUAUCCCCUUCUUGUGGAUUCCAUAAAGAAUCAAUCCAAGAUCAGCCACAGAAUCUUCCUCCUUCCAGAUCCCGAUAAUGCAGAACCAAACGAUUUCGUCGAUUCUCUUGUUUAUGAACAGCUGACUUGAAGAAAUUAACUUACACCUCUUCAACGAAUCAGAUAUCGCCUUCACCGACGAACUUCUUCUUGCUCAUCGGAUACUCCAUCGAAGCCGAUAAAGAACUUACUGCUUCCGUCUCUGACUUCGACGAAACUUGAUUCAUCCUUCUAUUUCUUCACCUCGAGGAAUCACGAACUCCGUGAAUCGACUGAACCUAUGAAUCGCCAAACCACGGCUCUGAUACCACUUGUUACGCGGAAACCCUAAGUGUUUGAUUCAGAUUAUGAUCACUCUUCUCUCAGCUCAAGAACUCUCACUCUCAGUUUGUACGAAAGAAAACGAAGCAAGAAAAUAAAGGACACAAGAGGUUUUGUUCACCCGGUGUUCACCGCACUUCUCCGAUGUGGAGAAGCCGCUAUACAUCACCGGGGCUGGGCAGAGCCAGCAAUCCACUAUCAACGAAGAUCGAGCUCUCUCUCAAAUCAGAGAACACUCGAAAAAGAAGAGAUACAGUGUUUGUUACGCUCUGUACAACUUGUACCAAAGCUCUCGGUUUAAUCCUUUUAUAUGAAUAAGGACUUAACCGGAAAUUACAAUCAACUUAUAUCAAACCAAUAUAUACCAACAUAACCAGUGGCUUGUGAUACGUGACUUCUUUCUUCUUUUUGUUGACCAGAGCUGAAACACAUUUCAACAUUCUCCACCUUGUUUUAGCUCUCAACAACUUCAUCUCUUGUGUUAAAACAUCUUCGUGAUCUCCUGUGGAUUUCUCUGGAAUCUACACCUCCAGCAACAGAGCCUUAAGCUCCUUCAAGCUUCUACACCCUUGAGCAAGUCUGACACGUCACUGAGCUUGCUAACCGGUAGACCUUUAGAAGCGCCAUCAAUGAAUAGAACGUGCGAGACCUUCUCUGUGAACGUCAACUCCGCACUGAUUUUCUGUGUCGCUAACACUCCAAUCCUUUAUUGAGUUAUACACCAGCUUUAACACUGACUUGUAUUUUAGCAAAACUCUCCAUUGAUUUCUUCAUGCUGCUGUAGCUUGAAUACUUGCGAGAACCACUCAGCAACUCCCGUUAACAAGUUACGUUUGUUUGAUCGAACUUGUUAAUCACAACAGAAUUCUCCAUAAGCUCCACCAACUCAUGAACUCUCCCUCCAAUCACACAGUAUCCUCUGUAGUUUCUGUCAAUACCACAGACCUGUUGCAGUGACUGAAACUCACUUAUCCCUUUGACAUCACCUUGCUAGCUUCUAGGUUUCUUCCUCAUGCGCAUGUAGACCAAAACCCUUUAAAUCCACUAGAACCAGAUGCAAAGAACACCAAAUGUUGAAGUUUCUAUCUUGAAACUCUUCCAUUUACCCUGUAACCAAUCUCACCAACAGCUGACACCACUGCAGAAACCUGAGAUCCACCUUUACAACAACCUGUCUAACCAGAUAACCUUGAACACUUUGAUUUCUCAAUCAUCCUGUUAAAAACAGAACCCACUAGCAGCUUUGGAACCCACUACUAGCACUCAUAUACUCUGUCUCAUAUCCUGAGACAACUCCUUCCAGCCGCUUCUACAUCACAUCUAGAAUCCAUGAUGACCUUGAGCUGUAACAGUAUCCUGCAAUACAUUCUCCCAUAUGCAGUCUCCACCAUAAAACUUGCUUCAUGUAUCUUUACCAGAUACUACUUGACUUGAAUCUCUUUAUAACCAAUCAGCUUCACUUGUAUUGUGCCUCUGAUACUUCUGAAUUCAUCACUUGACUGUUAUGUAAGUGAUCCCUGAGAUGAUCCCUAAGCCUUCUUAUGAUGCCGACACUAGAACACGUCUAGUCGUUAUCUUCAAAUGCAAUUUGAUCUCUCAUGCAUUUUUCGUCUUCUUCUGAGAUUUUUCUUUUAGUUUCAUCUCCAGCCUUGAGAUGGCAUAUUCACUAUGAUGAAUACAUAACAGCUUCCAGCUACUUUGAAGUUUCUGACCUGCAUUCGCUCAUGCUAACGUGGAAUUUAUUCCCUCAAUAUCUCUUCAGAGAUCCCACUGAACACUUCAAAUUAUCCUCAUCUCAAGCUCAUACUCUAGUAUCUGCUCUGAAACUUUAGAGAACUUGCAACUUGUAUCUCCAUACUUCUAUCAAAAUCCACAAGUUCCUUCUCGAACUCAACAAGACAUACCUUUUGGUCAUCGAAUGAGACCAGUCCAUGCUUGAAUAUCUUACACUAACACGAUCUUGAUUACCUUUUGUCUUCUCAAGACACUGAACACCCACGAGCCUCAACUUUCACAGUAAACAACUUCCAUCCAACUCCUAGUCUUGAACAAACCAGAUCACAUAACCAGACCAACUGAUUUAUCUGAAGCAACCCAGACAUUUUCUAAACAAGAAUGUGACACUCCACCAGGAACCAAGAACCCAUAUUCUGAGGAUGCAUCACUCAUUACAUAAUAUUGAUAGCUCCACCUGAACAAACAAUCAUUUAGAAGUUCCAUGUCUCUGCAAACUUAAUUGAGCUGAACAUCCAUUCACUGUCACUUUGACCACUAUAAACCCUGGUGUAACAGGCUGAAUGAAUAGCUUCCAUGUUGUACUGGAUAUCAGUCCCAAACACACCAUUCUUCAUCUUGCAGCCACUUCAGUUUAUCUUGUACCAGAAGAUAAAGAACACUCCUUUGCUUAUUUUUAAAUCAACCUUAGCUUCACUCACUUAGAUUUAAUUCUCCAAACUCUGCACCCACAUCAAGUUGUUUGAUGUACUUGAAGAAACAUCACGAGCCACCUUAUCCUUCAUUAAGCAUUUAGCUUGGAGCCUUUCACACAUUCUGAUUGUAGACAACCUUAAGACUGAUUUCUUCAUCAAUCUCCACCUCAGACCUGAAACCAAAAAAACCUUUGACCUCUUCUUCAUCAAAACCGACAUAUACCAAAUGUGUACCGUUGUUUGGACAAACUGAUAGUUCGAACAAACAAGACACGCCGUCUAACACCCAAUAUUAGAAAGACUUUCGACACACUACUAUGGCAUAUCCCAUUGCAUGAUAAAACUGAGAAACCUCCACACAGAAUAUGCAACCUCCACUGCCAAUCACCACUUCGUAGUUAACAUCCACUGAAUAAGACUUUCUUCAAUUGUUGCACAUGCUCCUGUUGCAGAAACUUUGAACCAUUUCCGAAGCUUAUUUUUCUCACUGAGAACUCCAACUUGUGUAUGCCUCAAUGACGUACAAGACCUCACAAAAGUUCCCAAUUGUUCUUAUCACACGAACCAUCUGUUCCAGCACACAACUGGUUGUAGCACACACAAAUAUCUUGAUCUCUGAAAAUUUCAGGAAGCUUCACACCAAUACAAGAGACUUUAUCCAAUUUCUUUCUUUUGUAUUUUCUUCUUGCUGCUUCCUUCCUGAUGAUCUUAAAUAAACCUUGAUCAUCACAAGCUGUAAACCCCGAAGCUUUAACUGCAUCAGUAUAAUCUGAGCUUGAAACACCAAAUACUUGAGCAGCCUCUGUAUCACCCAGAACAGCUUCACAACGAUCACUUGUUGGUGUUGAUAUACCAACUAGCUUUAAGUAUCUUUCCAGUCUACUAUACCGCCUCAAGUUCACAUCAAUAAUCACUGCAAAGAACUGUUUUUCAUCCAUGCUAAGACCCGCAAUAUUACUGUCCUGAGCAAACCAGCUUCAUGUAACUUGAUGUGAGACUUGCCAAGUACCUGAAACUUUCUUACGUACAGAGACAACACAAAGAUUCUACCAAGAACAUGAUCAUCACCACACAAGUUCAUUCAUUUGACUUAUUAACCCUCAGCCAAAAUAACUUUGAAACUAUAGAUCUAUUAAACCUUUCUUGUUCUAAAUAAUUCCCUGUCUUAGAUUCACAUUUAGCUGCAAUUCUUCCCUGA
rnacentral:lncRNA from 1 species